rnacentral:rRNA from 1 species
UACGAAGGGGGCUAGCGUUGCUCGGAAUCACUGGGCGUAAAGGGUGCGUAGGCGGGUCUUUAAGUCAGGGGUGAAAUCCUGGAGCUCAACUCCAGAACUGCCUUUGAUACUGAAGAUCUUGAGUUCGGGAGAGGUGAGUGGAACUGCGAGUGUAGAGGUGAAAUUCGUAGAUAUUCGCAAGAACACCAGUGGCGAAGGCGGCUCACUGGCCCGGUACUGACGCUGAGGUGCGAAAGCGUGGGGAGCGAACGAGG